rnacentral:piRNA from 1 species
UUAGAACAAAGGUUCCUAGAAAUUGCACA